UAUCUCUGUAGAGUCUGCAUAUCAAUAAGCGGAGGAAAAGAAACUAACAAGGAUUCCCUUAGUAACGGCGAGUGAAGCGGGAAGAGCUCAAAUUUGAAAUCUUCAAGGUUCUAUCUUGACGAAUUGUAGUUUAAAGAAGUGUUUUCUGUUAGAUGAGUAGCAAAAGUUCCUUGGAAUGGGACAUCAUAGAGGGUGAGAAUCCUGUAUUUGGUUAUUCAUUCUAGCUUUGUGAUACACUUUCAAAGAGUCGGAUUGUUUGGGAAUGCAGUCCAAAAUGGGUGGUAAAUUUCAUCUAAAGCUAAAUAUUGGCGAGAGACCGAUAGCGAACAAGUACCGUGAGGGAAAGAUGAAAAGAACUUUGAAAGAGAGUUAAACAGUACGUGAAAUUGUCAAAAGGGAAGCGUUUGACACCAGUGUUGUUUUUCCGAAAAUCAAUUACGAAUGGCUUGAUUCUGUGUUGUAUUGACCUUAUCAGCUUUCUGCACUUUUUUCGAGUCUUUCUUAAUGCACUUUUCGGUUAACAAGUCAACAUCAAUUUCUUUUGUUGUAAAAGAGUAUUCGGAAGGUGGCUUUCUUUUCGGAGAAAGUGUUUAUAGCCCUAUACUUCUACAAUCGGAGAGAUUGAGGUCUGCAGCGUAGAUCCUCCGGGGUUAGAUACAUUUGUGCUAAGUUGUAGCUUUUCAUAGACAACUUGUUGACUAUGUUUAGUCAUGCGGCUUACUCGCUUAUGCUAUUUUACCUACGCUUAGGAUGUUGAAGAUGUAGCACAUCAU
rnacentral:rRNA from 1 species